rnacentral:lncRNA from 1 species
UUUAAAUAAGCCUCUGAGGCAUCACCAAGGAAUUUGAAGAGAUCAUUGUGGAGCCUGUCAGCACGAGUACGGUAGAUGACAAGGUCAGAGAUGGCCAGGACCUUCAGCAGCAGCCGUGUUCUCUGGCUGAGGUUCACGGUGGCCCCCAGGAGGCCCUCUGUAUCAAUUACCACCACUUUGCGGACAGGGUCAUAGGCUGCCCAGACUCCGACCGUGCAGGACUCUUGGGCUGGAGAUGUCUUGAAGACUUCCCGGCCAUAGAAGAAAGCGUGGUUAAGGGUGUGAGACUUGCCAUCCCCUGUGUUCCCAAAGAUGGACACUACCUUUAGAUGCUGGUCAGGACUACAGUCCAGUUUCUUAAUAAAGUCUUCCUCAUUCCUUACCUGAAUCUCCUCAGUUUCAUCCACCAAGAGGAAACUCACAACUUUCUCAGCCAUCUUCCUUCUCCUGGUCUCCUCAUCCAUCUCCUCCUCUUCCUGCUCCUGGGCUUUGCCAGCAUGGUACACAGUGACAGGGUGCUUCCUCCUGUUCCCCCCGGCAUGCGUUCUCUUCUGACACUCCACGCAGAGGUUGAUUUUGCACACCUGGCACCUCACCGCUGCUAUCUGUCUUGAUCCCGUCAUACUGGCGUGCAUGAUGUUCCCAUUGGCACCUUUGCAGGAGUCACAGUAAGGGACGUGGCCAGGCCUUAUGCGGGUCCGUUCAUG